CACGUAGGGCGCAAGCGUUGUCCGGAAUUAUUGGGCGUAAAGGGCGCGUAGGCGGCUUUGCAAGUGACGGGUGAAAUCCCUCGGCUUAACCGAGGAACUGCCUGUCAGACUGCAUGGCUUGAGACCGGGAGAGGUGAGUGGAAUUCCCGGUGUAGUGGUGAAAUGCGUAGAUAUCGGGAGGAACACCAGUGGCGAAGGCGACUACCUGGCCUGUUUCUUGACGCUGAGGCGCGAAAGCUAGGGGAGCAAACGGG
rnacentral:rRNA from 1 species